rnacentral:rRNA from 1 species
UACGUAGGAUCCAAGCGUUAUCCGGAAUCAUUGGGUUUAAAGGGUGCGUAGGCGGCCCAGUAAGUCAGUGGUGAAAUCUCCCGGCUCAACCGGGAAAUUGCCAUUGAUACUGCUGGGCUUGAAUUAUCAGUAAGUAACUAGAAUAUGUAGUGUAGCGGUGAAAUGCUUAGAUAUUACAUGGAAUACCAAUUGCGAAGGCAGGUUACUGCUGGUGGAUUGACGCUGAUGGACGAAAGCGUGGGUAGCGAACAGG